UGGGAGGCUUCAGUCAAAUGAAUGCCGGCGGUUCACUGAACGAAUCCGUGUGGCCGGAUCUUAUCCGGGGCUGGUGUCUGAUACCAAAUGAUGUGUCCUCGUUUGUUAAUAAGCCCUCCGUACGGUAAAUGCCGGUUGCUGAAUGUAUAAUGAACGUGCCUGAGGAACCUUCUAAUUAUGCAAGGAACUUUAUAGACAACCUGGAAUAUCAAUAAUCAUCUCCUCUGACAAGUCGUCCAGCUCACAGUAGGAAUCAAAGAAGAGUUUAAAAUUGGAUCUCCAGGCCAUAACUUAACUACCAGUACCUAUAUAUGUAAGUAUAAAUCUGAUUGGUUAAGUUGUAUUCAUUAGAUAUAUGUACAGCUUUUUGUAUGUCAAUCAUAC